rnacentral:rRNA from 1 species
GAUGAACGCUGGCGGCGUGCCUAAUACAUGCAAGUCGAGCGAACAGAUAAGGAGCUUGCUCCUUUGACGUUAGCGGCGGACGGGUGAGUAUCACGUGGGUAACCUACCUAUAAGACUGGGAUAACUUCGGGAAACCGGAGCUAAUACCGGAUAAUAUUUCGAACCGCAUGGUUCGAUAGUGAAAGAUGGUUUUGCUAUCACUUAUAGAUGGACCCGCGCCGUAUUAGCUAGUUGGUAAGGUAACGGCUUACCAAGGCGACGAUACGUAGCCGACCUGAGAGGGUGAUCGGCCACACUGGAACUGAGACACGGUCCAGACUCCUACGGGAGGCAGCAGUAGGGAAUCUUCCGCAAUGGGCGAAAGCCUGACGGAGCAACGCCGCGUGAGUGAUGAAGGUCUUCGGAUCGUAAAACUCUGUUAUUAGGGAAGAACAUACGUGUAAGUAACUGUGCACGUCUUGACGGUACCUAAUCAGAAAGCCACGGCUAACUACGUG